rnacentral:rRNA from 1 species
UACGUAGGGGCUAGCGUUGUCCGGAAUCAUUGGGCGUAAAGCGCGUGUAGGCGGUUCGGUAAGUCCGCUGUGAAAGUCGGGGCUCAACCCUCGAAUGCCGGUGGAUACUGUCGGACUAGAGUACGGAAGAGGCGAGUGGAAUUCCUGGUGUAGCGGUGAAAUGCGCAGAUAUCAGGAGGAACACCAAUUGCGAAGGCAGCUCGCUGGACGUUACUGACGCUGAGGAGCGAAGCGUGGGAGCGAACAGG